rnacentral:rRNA from 1 species
UACGUAGGUGGCAAGCGUUGUCCGGAUUUACUGGGCGUAAAGAGCGCGCAGGCGGUCGUUCAAGUCGCGUGUGAAAGCCCCCGGCUCAACUGGGGAGGGUCACGCGAUACUGAUCGACUCGAAGGCAGGAGAGGGUAGUGGAAUUCCCGGUGUAGUGGUGAAAUGCGUAGAUAUCUGGAGGAACACCGGUGGCGAAGGCGACAUCCUGGACCGGUAUUGACGCUGAGGCG